rnacentral:rRNA from 1 species
UACGGGGGGGGUAAGCGUUGUUCGGAAUUACUGGGCGUAAAGGGCUCGUAGGCGGCCAACUAAGUCAUACGUGAAAUCCCUCAGCUUAACUGGGGAACUGCGUGUGAUACUGGAUGGCUUGGAUUUGGGAGAGGGAUGCGGAAUUCCAGGUGUAGCGGUGAAAUGCGUAGAUAUCUGGAGGAACACCGGUGGCGAAGGCGGCAUCCUGGACCAAUAUUGACGCUGAGGAGCGAAAGCCAGGGGGGCAAACGGG